GCCGGGUGCAGUGGCGUGCGCCAGUAAUCCAAGCUACUGGGAGGCUGAGGCUAGCAGACUGUUUGAGCUCAGGGGUUGUGGGCUGUAGCGUACUAUGCCAUUCGGGUGUCCGCACUAAGUUCGGUAUCCAUAUGGUGCUCCUAAGCUUGGGCCCACCAGGUCGUCUAAGGAGGGUUGAAACAGAGCAGGUCAAAGCCCCUGUGCAGAUAAGUAGUGGGAUCGCGCCUGUGAGUAGAUGUUGCAGUGCAACCUGGAUGAUACAGCGGUACUCAGUCUCU
rnacentral:SRP_RNA from 1 species